rnacentral:tRNA from 1 species
GGGUGGUUAGCUCAGCUGGUUCAGAGCGCUUGCUUCACACGCAAGAGGUCAUGGGUUCGAAUCCCGUACUACCCA